AAGUCGUAACAAGGUCUCCGUAGGUGAACCUGCGGAGGGAUCAUUAACACAUGAAAGACACCAAUUACACAUGAAAAUGAGUGAUGACGUGUUCUUUUGUUUUCCCUAUACACCCAUCUAGCGUGAACUAGUAUGCCCCUAUUUUUCUAGCAUGAUUUUCGCUCUGCUGGUAUUUUGUUAUUUUUAUGCAAAACCUUUUCCAACCUUUCAAUUGAACAGUGUUCUUGUUUUAUACUAGUAUGAGUGUUAGUUCACUCUUUCUAGUAUGAACUAGCAUGUUUUAUAACAUAAUAGAGUACAACUCUUAGCAACGGAUCUCUUGGUUCUG
rnacentral:misc_RNA from 1 species